GUGCUGUACAGAAACCCAGCCUAAAAUCCCAAACAGCACGGUGGCUAGGAAAACUCCCUAGAAAGGCCUAAACCUAGGAAGGGGGUAGUUUGGCGAGCCAAUGCUAACUAGCAUUGACUGGAAGCCUACAGGAACAGAUACAACAAUUGUUAGGUGGGGAGAGUGAGAGAGCGAGAGAUAGAAUGAACAUUUGUUGUUAGGUGGGGAGAGUGCGAGCGAUAGAAUUAACAUUUGUUGUUAGGUGGGGAGAGAGCGAGCGAUAGAAUUAACAUUUGUUGUUAGGUGGGGAGAGAGCGAGCGAUAGAAUUAACAUUUGUUGUUAGGUGGGGAGAGAGCGAGCGAUAGAAUUAACAUUUGUUGUUAGGUGGGGAGAGAGCGAGCGAUAGAAUUAACAUUUGUUGUUAGGUGGGGAGAGAGCGAGCGAUAGAAUUAACAUUUGUUGUUAGGUGGGGAGAGGGAGAGAGCGAGCGAUAGAAUUAACAUUUGUUGUUAGGUGGGGAGAGGGAGAGAGCGAGCGAUAGAAUUAACAUUUGUUGUUAGGUGGGGAGAGGGAGAGAGCGAGCGAUAGAAUUAACAUUUGUUGUUAGGUGGGGAGAGGGAGAGAGCGAGCGAUAGAAUUAACAUUUGUUGUUAGGUGGGGAGAGGGAGAGAGCGAGCGAUAGAAUUAACAUUUGUUGUUAGGUGGGGAGAGGGAGAGAGCGAGCGAUAGAAUUAACAUUUGUUGUUAGGUGGGGAGAGGGAGAGAGCGAGCGAUAGAAUUAACAUUUGUUGUUAGGUGGGGAGAGGGAGAGAGCGAGCGAUAGAAUUAACAUUUGUUGUUAGGUGGGGAGAGGGAGAGAGCGAGCGAUAGAAUUAACAUUUGUUGUUAGGUGGGGAGAGGGAGAGAGCGAGCGAUAGAAUUAACAUUUGUUGUUAGGUGGGGAGAGGGAGAGAGCGAGCGAUAGAAUGAACAUUUGAGUUGGACAUUGAAAGAACAGCACUGGCACCUGUGAAUCAGUCACCAACAUUCAUAUCAAAUACAGAUUUUAUAAUUGGGUUGUGCCGUGGCGGAGAUCUUUGUGGGCUAUACUCAGCCUUGUCUCAGGAUGGUAAGUUGGUGGUUGAAGAUAUCCCUCUAGUGGUGUCGGGGCUGUGCUUUGGCAAAGUGGGUGGGGUUAUAUCCUUCCUGUUUGGCCCUGUCCGGGGGUGUCCUCGGAUGGGGCCACAGUGUCUCCUGACCCCUCCUGUCUCAGCCUCCAGUAUUUAUGCUGCAGUAGUUUAUGUGUCGGGGG